CCGGCUUGGGAACGCGUCUUUUUUGUGAGCGUGGCAUGUGCUUGCGCUACCUCGUGAUGUGUACGCUCCAGUUUGCCAACACUGUGUGGUUGUGCUGCUUCCACUAUUGCUUUGUGAAACGUGAGAAAAGCCGCUGGUCGUGCCAUUUAAGUGUUGCGUUCGAAGGUGCCGCGCAGACUGCCCCAACGAGCUGCAGUCACCCGUGUUUUUUUUCCAAUGAAGAAAACCGCCAUCGUAAGCUGUUACGAGCAAUACUGUGGAAAGAAUACGAAGUGAUCAGCUCUAUAUAGAGGUACUGUUGUUGGUCCGACCACUGCCUGAGCUCACGUGGCCUGCCUUUCCUGGGUACGCUUUGCUGAACAUGAACAACCCACGCCUGGAUGAAAAUCCAUUUCACUACCAUGCCUUUAUCUGGACGUCGGUAUAAAGCAGCCGAACACCCUUCCUCGCUUCAAAAGAUGGGGCAGCAUUCUUCAGGUUGUUCAGCAACAAGCUAGCGGCAAGCCAGACGGGCCACCGAAGCGAGCUAGGCCGGCUGCACAUGGGAAGUUCGCCUGUGCGGCGACCUUGGACGUAGCCUGUUUGUGGGCUCCUGCGUUUUCCUGCGUUUCCUUGUGCACUUCGGUACGGCGCCACUGCACUAUUGGGAUACGGCAAGAACGUGUCCACUUCAUCCGCCACUGCACCUGCAAAGCGAACACUGCUAUGACAUGGGCUUGGGCUCCCCGAGACUUCUCUGCGCAUACUCCUCCCUCUCCAUGCUCCUCGUCUUCGUCAAAGCGACAGUGACUUCGAGCAGGCGCUCCUUGAGGAUCUCGGACAUGCUGAGUGUCAGAAAGAACGUGGGCUUGCCCAGCUGACCGGUCAUUGCAAGCACGUUCCCCUUCCUCUGCGCCAAGUAGCGCCCCAGUGGGACGCCAUCCCCGAGCUGCUGAAGUACACCUCUGA